rnacentral:rRNA from 1 species
GACGAGCGCUGGCGGCGUGCUUAACACAUGCAAGUCGAACGAUGAAGCCCAGCUUGCUGGGUGGAUUAGUGGCGAACGGGUGAGUAACACGUGGGCAACCUGCCCCAAACUCUGGGAUAACUCCUCGAAAGAGGUGCUAAUACCGGAUACGAACUAGACAGACAUCUGUACUAGUUGGAAAGUUUUUCGGUUUGGGAUGGGCCCGCGGCCUAUCAGCUUGUUGGUGAGGUAACGGCUCACCAAGGCUACGACGGGUAACCGGCCUGAGAGGGCGACCGGUCACACUGGGACUGAGACACGGCCCAGACUCCUACGGGAGGCAGCAGUGGGGAAUAUUGCGCAAUGGGCGAAAGCCUGACGCAGCGACGCCGCAUGAGGGAUGAAGGUCUUCGGAUCGUAAACCUCUUUCAGUAGGGACGAAGCGAAAGUGACGGUACCUAAAGAAGAAGCACCGGCUAACUACGUGCCAGCCGCCGCGGUAA